CUGUGAGGAAAAGGAAGAGUCAGUGCUUGGAGGAGCUGCCUGCAAGAGACAUCAAGGAGCUUUGCAGGGGACAGUUUCAGGAGCCCUGGCAGGGAGGUGUCCUGUCACAGGCAUCCUGCUGGGUGCCACAGCACACAGCCUGGAAUUUAACUCUGAAGUGUCCUUAAUGAAGAUAACUCUCUGUGAGGAGACCACCGUGGCUGCCAGCUCUGUCUGUCCUGCUCAGAAUUGCAGGAUCUGGUCUGGGGUGGGAUUUUUCCCCACUGCUGGACUUCAGGUCAGCUCUCUGAAGAGGGAAAGUGAGGAGGAGGAAUCUCUGCUUCUGCACCAAACCUGCCUUGGAAACAUUGUCAUAAAAGAAGAUCUAUUGCUAAAUGGAUCUUAAAAGAAAUAGGAAAAAUCAGCCUUGCAGGUCACAGGACAGCUGUAGAGGUAGAAGGAAAGGACAGUCUUUGCUAAAAAUCUCAACCCCCACUGCAUCCAGAAGUACUGCUCUGAACAGCUGAUGUCCAUUGGCUCAGCUGGGCCCGGCAUCACUCGAAAUUAGCAGGUAGUGGGAAAGGGUUGUCUGGCCACUGUCAAUGCACAGAGGACACACAGGUUCGUGGCAGGCUGUCCAAAGGCUGUUUGUCACGUGAGCUGGAAAUUAAGCUGUGCCCUAGAAAUAGCCUGAGGACAGGAGGAUUUUAAUGAUGCAUGGUAGAGAAAUAGAUACAUUUGGUGUGUAUGGGUAGGGUUUAGGAUAGACUGUUACUAUUUGCUUUCUCAAAGUUGAAUAAUGGCCCACCAUGUAAUUGUGGGAGACUCAAUUUUAAUAAAUGGUUUUGUUAUCACUGGAGGCCAGAUGUCCUAUGAGGAUAAAGGGCUCUUACCAUCUUGC